ACUGUUUGGGGCUACCAAGGCCAUUGACAGAGGCAGGCAGGCAGGCAAGGGACUGGCCCUGGCCUGUCAGCAGCCUGAGAGGAAUGAGCGGCCAUGGCAGUGAUGGCACCAAGGAAAGGCCCAGUCAACCGCAGCUGCUCCUGUGAGGAGGAGCAGGAGUGGGGCUCGGGUGAGGAAGUCUCUGGGGAUAGGAGGCUGCAACUUGGCCAAUAGGUGCCAGCAAUGUUGUAGCCACGACCAAGAGGGGUGAGGGGGAUGGAAGCAACUGGAUGGAAGAGCAGGAGCAGGAGUGCAGCUCAGCUGAGGGCGGAGAGAUCUCUGAGACAAAUGCCAAAGGUAUGGACAGCGCAGGGGUGAGGCUUCUGAGGAGGAACGUCUACUCCAUGUCUACUCCAUGGUGGGGCUUGCAGGCACAUUCUCGUGACACUGUAUGUUGAGAAUGCAACUAAAUUGGCUCAUGGGAAAAAGUCCUGUAGGCAAUAAGCAAAAACCUGCCACCUAAGUUUCAGUGUUCCCUGACAGAAGCAAUGGUAAACAGGAGACCAUAUUUUCAGAGUGUGACUGUGUCAACUUCCCAUUGACGUCAAAGGCCAGAUCUUUUUCGGUGACUCUAUAAACAACUGUGAUUAGGAAGCUAGUAUAGAAGUACACAGCCUGUAAUGAGCAAAAUUCUGCAACAGGAGGGAAGAAGUCCAUCUCUGGGCACAAAAUUUUGACAAGUUAUAGUGUAAGUAAAUAUUUGCUAAAAAACAUGAGUAUCACAUUGGUUUCAACCUUCUGAUAAACAGAGACUUGCUGUUUCCCAGGAAGGAGAUGAGAGUUUUGUAAAGCAGGAAAAUUCUCAACUCAACCCUCAAUACAAUACCUUAAAAAAUAUCUUAAUAUGCAAACUAGGAGACAGCAAAGAAGAAAAAUGCACAGCUACCAGACUGCAUCCCUGGAGUCAUCAAUUUCGUUUUUUAACGAAAGGCAGUAUAGAAAUGUAAAAAUAAAUAAAUAAAUAAAUAAUAAAAUUCAAUUUUAAAU